rnacentral:rRNA from 1 species
CGUGCAGGCGGGGUUGGUAAGUCAGAUGUGAAAGCCCUGGGCUCAACCCAGGAAGUGCAUUUGAAACUGCCAUCCUUGAGUAUGGGAGAGGAGAGUGGAAUUCCCAAUGUAGAGGUGAAAUUCGUAGAUAUUGGGAGGAACACCCGUGGCGAAGGCGACUCUCUGGACCAAUACUGACGCUGAGACGCGAAAGCGUGGGGAGCAAACA